UACGUAGGGUGCAAGCGUUGUCCGGAAUUAUUGGGCGUAAAGAGCUCGUAGGCGGUCUGUCGCGUCUGCUGUGAAAACUCAGGGCUUAACCCUGAGCUUGCAGUGGGUACGGGCAGACUAGAGUGCGGUAGGGGAGACUGGAAUUCCUGGUGUAGCGGUGAAAUGCGCAGAUAUCAGGAGGAACACCGGUGGCGAAGGCGGGUCUCUGGGCCGUAACUGACGCUGAGGAGCGAAAGCAUGGGGAGCGAACCGG
rnacentral:rRNA from 1 species